CACAGUUGGAAGUAUCAUAACUUUUUCACCAGGCUGUAAAUACACAGUGAAAUAUAUUUUUAUAAAGUCACCGAAAAGUAUAUCCUAGGUAUGAAUUAACUGCUUAACAAGUAUUAUUUUAUAGUAAAAAAAAAGAACUUACUCUACGUUACGUCCAGUGGACGUUGGAUAAUGCAUCGAUAAACGUAAACGAUGAUCGGGGCUUAUAAUGUACAAAGCACGAACAGUUAGAGCUUUAUCCGGAUCAUCUUUGCUGUCUUCGUCGAUCAUAUCCAACUUCACUGCCAGUUUACGAUCAUGAUCGGCAAGAAUUGGGUAUGGGAAUUCCCCAGGAAUGUCGUGGCAAUAUGAUCUAAUAUCCUACAAUAAACAAAAUUAUAGAAAAUAAAAAUAUAUAUUCGCAUAAAAUGGCAUAAAUCGAGUACAAAUAUACAAUCGUUAGAUUGCGCACCAUUAUUAACACCUACAAUGAGAACUGAUACAAAGCGCUAGUUGGCUCAUUAAAGCAAAGUAAAAUUAAUACGAACUUUAUAAGGUAAUUCAAUUUCUUAGCAGAUUGACAAUCUUUUAUCGAAAUGAAAUAAUUAUGUAAAGUAGAGUGUUAACAUGUAAUGAUAAUACUAAUAGUUUGUAAUUAUUCUUUCUGUAUCUCGUAUUUCAAUUAGAACUUUUUAAUGGUACUUCAACAUCAAGUUUAUAACAUUUUAUUCUUAUUUUUACCUACGAAUAUAUAUUGACAAAGUUUGCAUGAAAACUGUUCGAAUACCCCGUUAUAAAUAUUGCAAACGAUAUUAUAAUCAUUGUUUACAAGAAGAUCACCUAAUUCAUUCUAUGCACAUACAUGCAUCAUUUAUAAUGUGCAUAUGUAAUCUUUGAGAAUGACGCUGCAGCAUACAGAAUAUUCUUCAAUUGUAAUUGUAAUAAAAGAGCGCGACAUCUAUCGUCUCGGCAAAUAUUGAAGAAUAUUUUUGAUACUAACAUUAACCCAAUCAAUAUGAUCCUGUAGUUUGUCAACGGAAUGAGCCAACAGUUUUGUGUUUCGACGUUCAAAACUGGGUUGAUGCACUGCUAAACGACCCAAUUCGGUGGUGCAAACCGGUGUAAAGUCAGCAGGAUGAGAAAAUAGAAC